rnacentral:rRNA from 1 species
UACGGAGGGUGCAAGCGUUGCUCGGAAUUAUUGGGCGUAAAGCGUAUGUAGGUGGUUUUCUAAGUCUGAUGUGAAAUCCCAGGGCUCAACCCUGGAACUGCAUUGGAUACUGGAAAGCUAGAGGAUGAUAGAGGAUGGUGGAAUUCCAGGUGUAGCGGUGAAAUGCGUAGAUAUCUGGAGGAAUACCGGUGGCGAAGGCGGCAUCCUGGACCAUUACUGACGCUGAGGCGCGAAAGCUAGGGGAGCAAACGGG